rnacentral:lncRNA from 1 species
AUGCAGAAAACCGUCCUGAAAGAUCUCCUGUUGCCGCAAGCCCAUGCAGCUACCUGCCAAGUCGAUCUGAUUUACAGGGUCUUUACUCCUUCAGCCUCCAACAGCUGUCAAGGCUCAGGAGCAAAAACACUGACUGGAAAACACGAAGGGGAGGACUGUGACGAUGAGCACCAGGAGAUGUACCACAGAAAGCUGAGCAUCAGAGAUGCAGUACAGUAUCGCUUAGGAAACAGAUGGGUACGCAUUUUAAACGACGACGGGAUUAUUCACACAAGCAGUGUAAGAACCUCACUCACCACCGUUCCCGCCAAGGAAGGAAUAUCCUUAAUUUCUACAUGCCAGAACACUAAGAGCUAUGAAGACCUAGAUAAGUGCCUUUCCUUUAAACGAGCCUGGGCUUCACUGCAGAACAAUGCUGAGAAACGCGUACGGGAUUUUUCCCUCGGACCCUUUGUGUGGCCACGCCAUGCUGCUUGAAACUAAGGUACUUGGGCAUUUUAUCGCCAAAAUACUGAGGCAGGCUGAAAGUAUUUUUUGCAGUUUACUGUCUAUCAAAUACUAAAGUCUUUGUAAUGUUCCAGUAUUUUGUGGGCUUUUUUCAUUAAAUCUGAGCUUAAGAAUUAUAAUACAUUAUUUUUGGUCAUGCAAAAUAACAUUAAAAUACGUCAUUGGUGUAGACAUCUACUUGUAAAAGUGCUGCGAUUUAAUUUAGAUAGAUUUUGUAAGACGUACAGACAAUAUCAACUGUUUUUAUAGAGCAAAGCUGAGACAAGAUCUACGCUUAUUCUCCUGACUAGAUAAUGAGUAAUUUUCACAGAAAAAUAGCUGUGAGGGAAAAUCUGCUAUUUUUUCACAAAUCGGUUUCUUUCUGUGAUAUACAUGACUUUCAUUAGGAAUAACGACUCCAAGAAAAAUCCAGCACGAUGGGCUUAUCCGCACAUUUUGUAGCACACGUUCACUUAGGCUGUCGGAGCUUUGCGGAAGGAGAAGAAGGGAAGGGAAGGGAAGGGAAGGGAAGGGAAGGGGCUGCCGCGCAGCAGGGAGGAGAUGCCACCGAACGCGCCGCUGGCAGAGCAGCGGGGCCGGCAGCCUGGCUGCGCGCUGCGUGGAGGGGAAGCGGGAAGGUGCCUGCGCGGUCCCACAGGGACCUGCUGCCUCGCGGCGCCGUCGAAGGUCUCGGAGGUGACUCCAGCUGCUCCUGCCAGGCUCUGCUCCCGACUCUGCGACGUGUUAGAAAUCUGCCUCCGUUUUCUUUUCUGUUGGACAACAUGGAGGCACAACUUUCAGCACGUUUUGUUACUGCACGUUUGUAUUUGUUACUCUGAAUAUGUUUGUCUGAGUAACAGAUCUCAUGACAAUACAUGGCACAUUGAAAUAGGUGGGGUUUAUAGCGGGGGGAAUAAGGAGACAUAAAUGAGAUGUCAAUAAAAUGUUUAAUAUAACUUUAAGAGAAAGAUUU